CAGAACCAUCAAGCAGUGAAUUGUUGGCAAAGGGGUGUUUUUGUUGCUGCCUCACAUCUCAGAAGCCGAGAGCGUAAAUAUAAUGAGUUACUCAACCCCUCUUAUUCUAUUUUAGUUUACCUGACAAGAACAGAGUCCCUGACUGCAGCUCGCGUGCUAAUCACGUGAACGAGAAGACCGCUACGCAAAUGAGAAACCCUAAUUUUCCCUCGAUUACUUGAGCCCGACGGGUUCAGAGCAGUGCGCGCUGCCUGGCGGCGAUGAUAGCGGCGAUUCGGACGUCGCCAAGCCCUUUGAUCUGUAGGGAAUCUCUUGGUGGACUUGUCUAAUGUUCUGCUUGCUGCGCCGAUUUAACGAAGCCCUCGCUGCUGCUUGCGUUAGAUCUAUUUGCCGCCGAUUUGAAUCCUGCUUUGAGGAAGUAGGAAUUUUGCGACUGCAGCAUGCUUAAAGCUGUGAUAAAUUUCUCCCCUUCUUAAGUUUGUCAAAGCAACCAGUCGCCUUUCUUUGAAUUGUUCUAAGUUUCUCCCCCUGUAGAAUUCACAUGGGAAUUGCUAAUUCAAUUUCUUAGUAGAAGACAAUGUUCUCAUA